rnacentral:rRNA from 1 species
CGCAGCUAACGCACUAAGUGCCCCGCCUGGGGAGUACGGCCGCAAGGGCUAAAACUCAAAGGAAUUGACGGGGGCCCGCACAAGCGGCGGAGCAUGCGGAUUAAUUCGAUGCAACGCGAAGAACCUUACCAAGGCUUGACAUACACCGGAAAAGUGCAGAGAUGUGCUCCCCGUAAGGUCGGUGUACAGGUGGUGCAUGGUUGUCGUCAGCUCGUGUCGUGAGAUGUUGGGUUAAGUCCCGCAACGAGCGCAACCCUUGUCCUGUGUUGCCAGCACGUAAUGGUGGGGACUCAUAGGAGACUGCCGGGGUCAACUCGGAGGAAGGUGGGGAUGACGUCAAAUCAUCAUGCCCCUUAUGUCUUGGGCUUCACGCAUGCUACAAUGGCCGGUACAAAGGGCUGCGAUACCGCGAGGUGGAGCGAAUCCCAAAAAGCCGGUCUCAGUUCGGAUUGGGGUCUGCAACUCGACCCCAUGAAGUCGGAGUCGCUAGUAAUCGCAGAUCAGCAACGCUGCGGUGAAUACGUUCUCGGGCCUUGUACACACCGCCCGUCACGUCAUGAAAGUCGGUAACACCCGAAGCCGGUGGCCCAACC